AAUCGCUAGUAAUCGCGGAUCAGAAUGUCGCGGUGAAUACGUUUCCGGGUCUUGUACACACCGCCCGUCACACCAUGGGAGCGGGUCUCGCCAGAAGUGGGUAGCCUAACCGCAAGGAGGGCGCUUACCACGGCGGGGUUCGUGACUGGGGUGAAGUCGUAACAAGGUAACCGUAA
rnacentral:rRNA from 1 species